rnacentral:rRNA from 1 species
UACGGGGGGGGUAAGCGUUGUUCGGAAUUACUGGGCGUAAAGGGCUCGUAGGCGGCCAACUAAGUCAGACGUGAAAUCCCUCGGCUUAACCGGGGAACUGCGUCUGAUACUGGAUGGCUUGAGUUUGGGAGAGGGAUGCGGAAUUCCAGGUGUAGCGGUGAAAUGCGUAGAUAUCUGGAGGAACACCGGUGGCGAAGGCGGCAUCCUGGACCAACACUGACACUGAGGAGCGAAAGCCAGGGGAGCAAACGGG